rnacentral:rRNA from 1 species
UGCAGUCGAACGUGAAAGCACUUCGGUGUGAGUAGAGUGGCGGACGGGUGAGUAACGCGUGGGAAUCUACCCAGUAGUGGGGGACAACUACCGGAAACGGUAGCUAAUACCGCAUACGCCCUAUGGGGGAAAGGCUUCGGCCGCUAUUGGAUGAGCCCGCGUCAGAUUAGCUAGUUGGUAGGGUAAAGGCCUACCAAGGCAACGAUCUGUAGCUGGUCUGAGAGGACGAACAGCCACACUGGGACUGAGACACGGCCCAGACUCCUACGGGAGGCAGCAGUGGGGAAUAUUGGACAAUGGGCGAAAGCCUGAUCCAGCAAUGCCGCGUGUGUGAAGAAGGCCUGCGGGUUGUAAAGCACUUUCAGUUGGGAAGAUGAUGACGUUACCAACAGAAGAAGCACCGGCUAAAUCCGUGCCAGCAGCCGCGGUAAUACGGAUGGUGCGAGCGUUAAUCGGAAUUACUGGGCGUAAAGCGCGCGUAGGCGGCUAAGUCAGUCAGAAGUGAAAGCCCCGGGCUCAACCUGGGAAUUGCUUUUGAUACUGCUUGGCUAGAGUUUGGUAGAGGAUAGUGGA